GAUGAACGCUAGCGGCAGGCUUAAUACAUGCAAGUCGAGGGGCAGCAGUUUUGUAGCAAUACAGAAGCUGGCGACCGGCAAACGGGUGCGGAACACGUACGCAACCUUCCUUUAACUGGAAGAUAGCCCACCGAAAGGUGGAUUAAUACUCCAUAAUAUAUUGAAGAGGCAUCUUUUUGAUAUUAAAGCUCCGGCGGUUAAAGAUGGGCGUGCGUCUGAUUAGGUAGUUGGCGGGGUAACGGCCCACCAAGCCUUCGAUCAGUAGCUGAUGUGAGAGCAUGAUCAGCCACACGGGCACUGAGACACGGGCCCGACUCCUACGGGAGGCAGCAGUAAGGAAUAGUGGUAAAUGGACGCAAGUCUGAACCAGCCAUGCCGCGUGGAGGAUGAAGGCCCUCUGGGUUGUAAACUUCUUUUCUUUGGGACGAAACCCCUGUUUCUACGGGGACUGACGGUACCAGAGGAAUAAGCACCGGCUAACUCCGUGCCAGCAGCCGCAGUAACAC
rnacentral:rRNA from 1 species